AAUUAAUCAAAUUUGGGCAAAAUUAGUCAAAUACUAUGUCCAUGAAUGUUAUUUAACAUUAGUCACAUAAAAUGGGACAUUUUUCGUUAUUUUCAGUCAGUUAAAGGACAAACCAAGCAUCAGAUUUGUGUCUGUUCAACAAUUUCCACCUGACGAACAUCCAAAAAUCAGCAGAAAGUCCAGAAACUAAGGGACUGCAGCUCAGGUUCUCCUCCAGAUGUUUGCUUUGUAUCUGAUCCAGACCGACUCUGGUCUCCAGAAUGUAAAACUUUCAGUCGUUUCUCUGUUGGAGGCUUUUCAGCGCUGAGAUUAAACCCGUAGAAAACCUCAAGUCAUGCUUAGAAACUGAUCCUGCACUUUAUUCUUCAGAGCUCCACGUCAUGCAGAUGUUCCUCCUCCACUUGAAUUCUUUGUUUUUAUUCUUCCUUCUCCUUUUAAAGAUUAGAGGAUUAAUUCUCCGUAUUUAUUCAUGUCCUGCAACACGUUUCUUGAUUGUUGUACAAAGAAAAGAAAAUGUGAAUCUUCAGAGGUACUCGAUCAUAAAUCAUUUACUGUGGAGGAUUUAAAUAACUGGAGGUUAAUGAAUCCUCAUCUCAGAUUUCCUCCUCAGACGUCUGAGUUUUCUUGUUUUAAAGGAAGAUUCUGGUUUAUUUCCACCUCCUGAGUUUCUAUUAAUGCCUCUAUAAUAACUUUAACUGUUUAUCUCUGUUUUAGAUUCAAGGAAAGCAGAAAAAAGCUCCAGUUUUCUCAACAGAAAACCAGAUUUUUACAUGAAUUACGGAAACGAACUUUAAUCUCCAACAUUUUCAUCCUCUAGUUUUUCUGAUGGUCGAUUCUACAAAAUAUCUCCAAAUUUUUCAAAAGAUACUGAAAAAAAUGUUUGAAAAUUCAUCAAAAUUUUCCCAAAAUGACCAAAAAUUUGGUUCAAAUUAACUGAAAAGUUGAUCAAAAUGAUUAAUUGUUCAAAAUAAAUCAAGAUUGUUUUAUUUUAAAACUCAUAAUUUGGUGCAGAAUUAUUCAAUAUUCAUCCUAAAUGACAACGAGUCCUAAAAGAUUUUUUAAAAAUUGUUCAGAAUAACUGAAACAUUCCAAAAUUUGUCCAAAGUAACUAAACUUGUCCAAAGUUGUUUGUCUAAAAUGACAGAUACAUCCAGAAAAAUUUAAACUGUCCAGUAAUUAAUCAAAAUUUGAUUUAAAAAAAUGUUUAAAAAUACAGAUUUUUUUAAACAAAAAAAAUGUCCAGAAUUGUUUAAUAUUUGUCUUAAAUCAGUCAAAAAUUGGUCAAAAUGUCUGAAACAAUGACUCAAAAUUAAUGUCCAAAGUAGCAAAAAAUUUACUCACAAAUUAUCAAAAAAUUAUUUUGGAAAUUUGUCCACAAUUCGAAAUUUGUGUGCGACAAAAACAUGCUGAAAAUGGUCUGAAACUUUUACUAAACAUGACUUAAAAUUUGUACAGAGUGACUUAAAUCAGUCAAGAACUUGUCAAAAAAUUGCUAAACAAUUGAUUAAAAAAUGACUCAAAAAUUAAUCAAAAAUGACUCACAACUGACACAAAAACUGCUGCAAAGCAAUUUCAAAAAUUGGUCACAAUUUACUUAAAAACUGGUCAAAAAUUCUUAAAUUUUUUUUUUAAAUGACAUAAAACUGUGUCCAAAAUGACUCAAAAAUUGGUCAAAAAUUGUUUAAUUUUUUUUCAAAAUAACAAAGAAAUGAAAAACAAUUGCUCAAAAAUUAUUCAAUAACUGGUUCAGAAGGACUCAAACAAUGGUAAAAAACUAAAAAAUUUAUCAAGAAUAACUCAAAAAUGGUCAGAAUCAACUCAAAAUGGCUCAAUUAUUUCAUUUCUUUCAAAAUGACAAAGAAAAUAAAAAAUGUGUUCAAAAUGAACCAAAAAUUGGUCAAAAAUGACUUAAAAAUUGCUUGAAAAUUACUCAAAAAUGGUCAAAAAAUAUUCCGAAAUUGGUUUUUAAAAAAAAGUUUAAAGUUGCUCAAAAAUUGGUCCAAAAUUAUUUACAUUUUUUCAAAAUGACAAAGAAAAUAAAAAAUGUGUCCAAAAUGACUCAAAAAAUUGGUCAAAAAUCGGGACUCAAAAUUGAUCAAAAUUUACUCAAAUUGUUGAAAAAUGACCCAAAAAAUUGGUCGACAAUAAGGUUCUGAAAUGGUUGAAUUCUUUAAAUUUUUAAUGAUUUUAAAGUGUUUGGAUGAAAAUGGACAUAGAUUUUUGGUGAUAAAUGUUUGUUUGAGGAGCAAAACUAAAAUAAUUCAUGUAUAAAAUAAUAAUAAAUUAAUAAAAUUGAAACUCUGCAGGGUUAAAAUGAUCAGAAUCGUCCUUUAAACGAGUCUUCAGGUUCAGAUCUUUCAGGUUCUACACAGAAAAACAAACCGAGAUAAAAACCAAAUGUGAGUUUUCGAUCUUCUGGACGGAUGCAGUUCUGAAUGUUUCCUGUAAAUAAUCAGCCGAGUCGAAGAAAAGAUGCUGAAAAGAGAUUUUUCCAUUUAGGUGUUGGACUCUAAAUGUUCUGUGAAACGUUUUCUUUUUUCUACGGCAGAAAUGUUUGAUAUAUUUAAUAUGUUGAUGUCAGCUUGUACAUAGUUUAUGUCGUUCAGCACUAUUUUUAAACACCUCCUCUGUUCAUUCUUUGGUUCUCUGUUUGUUUUUUAAUUGUAAAUAGUUUCUGUCGUCACUAAACACGGGACUCAGCCUGAAUCGGUGCCAUAAAACUUAAGCGUUUCAUUUGUGGUUUUUUUUUUUUUUUUUUUUUGCGUAGCCACGAUAACGUUAAAGACUUAAAGACUGCUUCCUUUCAGAUGUUUUAUUUUAUUUUGAUGAUUAAAAGAUGUUUCUGCGGCUCACGGUGAAGAAAACGCGAGCGUUUGACUCGGACUCUCCAGUUUUUAUUCACUGGACAGAAAACUCCUGACUGUGAAGAAGCUUCGAAGCAUUUUAACAUCAAUAAAUCUUUACCACAUUAAA
ensembl:lncRNA